rnacentral:lncRNA from 1 species
GUUCUCUCUUUCUCUCUCUCUUUUUCUUUUUCGUUUUUUUUUUUUUUUUUUUUUUUUUUUUUUUUUUUUGGGUUGGGGAUCAAACUCACAACCUUGCACUUGCCAGACAGGCACUUGUGCCACUGAGCUAAAUCCCUGCCCUUUCCUACCCUUUAAAAACUGUCCUACUGGGCCCGAGAUGCCAUGAACCUUUCAAGCAGGAGAGGAAGCAAAGGGCAUGGGUGUGUGUUUCUAAAGGCUCAUUCCCAAAUUCUACUUCCUGUGCCUCUUUUGGAUCCUGCCUGUCAAGCCUACCUAUCAAGCACCACACUGAGACCAACCGUACAACUGGCCACUAAGCAUGACUCAGAAGAAGUCCAUCAGGAAUUACUGAAACUCAGAAAGUGCCAGGAUUUGUGUAAGAUUAGAGUUGCAGAGGAGGCGUGGAAAAAUGAAUAAUGGAAUAAUUGUACCCAUCCAUUUGGUCCAUUCUAUUUCUAGAACUUCAGUGCACACAACUAUUAUUCUUGAUGUAGACAUUUAUCUGGAUAGGCUCAGCCAGUUAGGCCAGCACUGUGACUUGGAUUUGUUGGACUGGAAUUGAGAGAUGUCAAGAAAAUGCCAGAAAGGUUCUUACGCUCUCUGAGAGAUGCACUGAAGUAAAAUUCCUGAAGGGGUUUGAGGGUAGAUAACUUUGGAAUGGAGUGGAGUGAAAGAUAUUUGAGAAUUGGGGCAAGCAGAAGAGAUAUCUGGUAUAAAGAGUAUGGUUCUCACAACUAAUUCUGUUUUUUUCUUGCUGCUGCCAUGAGGUGCUCAUAUGGAUCAGCCACUCUCAGGGCUAUAGACCAGGUCAGAACACCUAAUGAGUCAGUGACUGCAUUGCCAUGGGAUGGGAGAUGAUGACAGGUGGAGGGGAACUAUGCCACUUUGGAAGACACUUCCUCAUCUCAGUGAGGACCGUCUGAGAAAAGAUAAAGGGAAUAGUUUAGGCAGACCUUACUGUUGACCUUUGCUGGCUUCCAAGGUUUGCAGGAGUUAGGAGUAAUUAUAGGAAUAAAGGGAUUUAUAUAUACAGCUGUAUGAAAGGGAAAAUCCAUCUGGAGAGGCAGUGACUCCUUGGUCCCUGAGAGUAUUUAAGGCCACUAGGAUUGCUCAGCACAGUGAGUGACUUUUCUGGAUGCAAGAAUGGACAAGCUGUUUCCCUUCCAGUUUUGAAAUUCUGCAGUUUUGAGGAUCAGUUACCCUAAGAGAUCAUCCAGUAUCCAGGAUGGUUCCUAGCCCAGUUAUUCAUGGUGGGAGUGGAAAGCAGUUCUGAAAGUGAUUCUUCAUAUACGGGGUUACUUUAACUUAGGCAUGCUGUCUGUCUCUCUCUGAGUCUCUUUGGACUCAAUAAAUCUUUAUAUUAUAUAGGAGGAAACUACCUGACAGCUACAUUAAGUACUGUAAAUCAGGGAUUUCCCCAGUUUUGUUUAAAAGCGGAGUUGCCUUAGGACAUACUGGAACAGAGAGCAUCAUCCUAAGGUGACUCAGGCUCCCAUAGUUUGUUUCUUGCUUUCUGAUGUAGAGUAGUAAAGCAUAACCCACAAGCAGAGAAGUGACAUGUGGGCCUAGAAGUUCCACAGUUAAGGAUGUUGGAUUAUGUUAUCCACAGGAACUCCUGACUUCAUGGCGCCACAAUAGUUGUAUCUGAUGAAGUAAAGCAGCUAAAGAGAAAGUGCCUUUGGAUUGAUUUCAGCUAGAAGACAGAUAGAUCCCAGAGCUGAUUGGAAACAUCACCAGAUAUUGUGUUCGUAUUCUUUAUAGCAGUUGUCUUGAUGUUACCAGCAGGAGGCAUCUUGUAACCAAAAACAUUUUUCCUUAGGCUGAUACUUUUAAUAAAUUUACCUUCUGCUUGUUUUCAUUCAACUUUCUGUUUGUUUAUUUCUUACUAUCUUCUACUUAGAAACCAAAUGCUGUGCUGUGGCAUGGUUAGACAUCGG